rnacentral:rRNA from 1 species
UACGAAGGGGGCUAGCGUUGCUCGGAAUCACUGGGCGUAAAGCGCACGUAGGCGGAUUGUUAAGUCAGGGGUGAAAUCCUGGAGCUCAACUCCAGAACUGCCUUUGAUACUGGCGAUCUUGAGUCCGGGAGAGGUGAGUGGAACUGCGAGUGUAGAGGUGAAAUUCGUAGAUAUUCGCAAGAACACCAGUGGCGAAGGCGGGUCUCUGGACAGUUCCUGACGCUGAGGCACGAAGGUCAGGGGAGCAAACGGGG